UUAAACUGAAAGUUUGCAAGUUUUAUAGUGUUCCACUGGUUUUUUCAAUUUAAAUCCAGUAAAAUAAAUAAUGGAAAUGGAAAGUGGCGGGUACCACAAAAGUGCCACAUUGUUCCAACUAUGUGCUGAUCACUAUGGAAAUGUUUUUUUAUUUAUUAAAAGAGGAGACGUUACCGUCACAAAGCCUGCUUUUGUUUCGAAGCCUGUGGAGAAACAAAAGUUGGGAACUAGACUAAGUUCGGGAACGUCUUGGUGUUCCAUAAUUAUACAUCAUGUAAAAAAAAAAUUAAACUAAAAAAGUUAAACUAGAAUGAUACCUUGAACUUGAAAAGCUUUUUAACAUGAAAUGUAUAUGUUUAUGAUAUUUCAAGGUCGUCAACAAAAAACAUAAACAAAAGGCUAACAGCAGAUGAUGAGUAUAAAAGUGACUUUUAAAUUUUAGUUAAUUUGAUCAAUUAAAGUGUAUAUUUUAUGUAAUUGCAGUGUUAUUGAACUAAAGAAAGAAUAUUUUGAUUUUCUAUUGAGUUUAUAAUAGAAUAUGGAAGAAGUUGAGUAACAUUUAUGAUGUUUGCCAUAUCUUCUACUGACUGCUUGGUUUGUGACGAAAGCUUGAUUGAGGCCUACUUAGAGUAUCGUGACAAAUUAAAAUAUUAUUUUACUUUUCCUUUUCAAAUUUUCAUACUCAUUCAUUUCUGAAAUUCUUUCACAGGUAUCUACCAUUUCUGUACAGAUGCGUACGUACGAUUUAUCAUUAUGGAAUCCACUGGCAAUUUAAUGAAAUGGUUGGUUGAUGUGAAUCGAUGAUGAUGAUGCUGGUAGUUUUUUUAUGUUUGGUGACUCUUGGGAUCAGUUUAUUUUUAAAUUAUUAUUUCAGUUUUAAGAACAUUUUUAAAUAAUAUGAAAUUAAUCAUAAGUUAAAUGUUUAACUGUUUAAUUUAAAAAAAAUAGAAAUUUUAUUGGGAUUUUCCUUUGGAAAAUUAAAUAAAUUUUGUUUACAUAGAUUGAAAAGAUAA